UGCCUUAUACAGGGGGAUAACAGUCAGAAAUGACUGCUAAUACCGCAUAAGCGCACAGAGCUGCAUGGCUCAGUGUGAAAAACUCCGGUGGUAUAAGAUGGACCCGCGUUGGAUUAGCUAGUUGGUGAGGUAACGGCCCACCAAGGCGACGAUCCAUAGCCGGCCUGAGAGGGUGAACGGCCACAUUGGGACUGAGACACGGCCCAGACUCCUACGGGAGGCAGCAGUGGGGAAUAUUGCACAAUAGGGGAAACCCUGAUGCAGCGACGCCGCGUGAAGGAAGAAGUAUCUCGGUAUGUAAACUUCUAUCAGCAGGGAAGAAAAUGACGGUACCUGACUAAGAAGCCCCGGCUAACUACGUGCCAGCAGCCGCGGUAAUACGUAGGGGGCAAGCGUUAUCCGGAUUUACUGGGUGUAAAGGGAGCGUAGACGGAUGGACAAGUCUGAUGUGAAAGGCUGGGGCUCAACCCCGGGACUGCAUUGGAAACUGCCCGUCUUGAGUGCCGGAGAGGUAAGCGGAAUUCCUAGUGUAGCGGUGAAAUGCGUAGAUAUUAAGAGGAACACCAGUGGCGAAGGCGGCUUACUG
rnacentral:rRNA from 1 species